ensembl:lncRNA
GAAUCUCCUUCGUUUUUUCUCUUUUGUGAUACGCUCCAUGAUUUUUAUUAUUUUGGAGAUUUUUUUUAAUUGCAGUAACAUUGGUUUAUAACAUCAUGUAAAUUUCACGUGUACAUCAUUACCUUUUCAUUUUUAACCUUUCCUUAUCUUUAGUAUCAAGCCCUACAGGUACAAACCCAAGCGAAGAACUGCUUCCCACCCACAGUGAUGCUGUGCUCCUGAAGGUCCCAGCCUCUGCACACUUUUCCUUUCGUUCAUUUUUUUCUCACUGUAGUUAAAUUUUCAUUCCUGUAGUUUACCUCUUAGCUCCACCUUAUUUUUGUAUUUAUAUCUCAUAUUUUAGGACUUGCUUGGAGUGCAAAAUGUGUUGCAAACUUGAGAGAGAACAAAACUAGAUAAGUUCAUGAAAAAUUGCCCUUUCUUUCCUAUUCUAGAAUUAUUUAGAACGGGAGCAAUGGAACUUUUUGGAUCGGUCCUGUUCUGCUUUGGGCUACUUAGGCUUCUGGUAUAUGGCUCAGGUCAUGGGCACCAGAUGCCAAUGGUACUAAGGUCAAGGGUUUGGUCCUCACUUGGGCUGGUUUGCUGCAUACUUUUCCAAUAGGUUGUAUGGAGAUUCAGUUCUGUCACUGCAGAAAUGCUAAUCAUAAAGGGGAUUGGUGAACGUAUGAGUGACCAGGUGAAUAUCCAGCCCCAUUCCUGCAAAAACAAAGUCUGUGCCCUACUGUCAUUUUUGCAUUUGGACAGAGCGUGCCACUUAAAACAUGAGCUUGUUACUCAACCUCCCUGCCUCUCUGUUUCCUCAUCUGUAGAAUGGAGAUAAGACGUGCUCCCUUUUUACCUCACCAGGACCUGUGAAGAUUAGAUAAUGGCUGUAAAGUCAAAGGUAUAAGCAUUAUCACAAACAAGGAGAUUAGUCAACAAAUGAAAAAAAAUUUAAGGGACCCCCCAAAGUGUAUUGCUCAAUACUUUUUGAAUCAAUAUGAGCAGUUUGCAGUCCAAUCCAUUCUGUUUGGUUGAGCUGCAAAAAGUUAGGUGUGAAUGUUUGACCUUUCUAUUUAUUUACAAGGUUAAAAAAGCUGUUUGAUAAUGAACAUUUAUACUAAGAAAAAUAAAGUGGGCUUUGAAUCUGAAACAGGUUUUAUCUGAAAAACAAGGUGAAGGCGAAGGUCUCUAGGAACAUGCGUGCCACUGAGGAGUAUUUGCAUACAUUUGAUCUGCGAGCAUGCCUCAGUGACUUUCACAGUGUACCUUGGAGUUUAAGCUGUAGCAAAGAGCCACUGCCAGGGCUCGGCAGCAGAGUUCCUUCUCUCCAGCUUUAUUGUGGCACACAGCGACAACUUCAUUUUUAGAAUUAAAAAAAAAAAGUCCUCUUCACUUAAUUCAGACAGUGACCUGCAGGCCUCAUUCCGACUGAAGGAGCCAUUCAGAAUACUUCCAGACAAAAGCAGGGCUUUUUCCUAGCAACCAGAUCAAAGCCAAAUCUCCCAGAAUAGCUCGCUCCCAGGUUUCCUUUGGUGCAUAGGUUCACAAGGAUUCUAAGGCUCGUGGUAUCCAGUUCAAACUCCUCUUUCAAACUGAAAUGGAAAGGAAAACUCCUGAGGAAUUCUCACAGACUCUGAAAACUGGUCUUGGAUUUGAUGACUAGAGUGUCCUUUGAGUGGAAUUUCUGUCUUAACUCUGCUCUGGAGGACAGCGAGUUUAGGAAGCCUUGCUGAUCUGAAUGUCUUGACCACUGCAUUCUGGCUUCUGUCUUUUUUUUUACAGCUGAGGUUAGACUUAACUCUGGAAGUUGUGAAUUGGAAAAGAUGGCAGCAACUGGCACGUGCUUGGAGUGGGUAGGAAUUGCUUAUUUCCUCGCAGAGCUAUGGGUUCUUAAAACAAUUUCUAAUAGCAGCAGCAGAAGAAUUUACUAACAAUCCAUAGUGUCUUUUUUGUCCAGGAUAAA